rnacentral:lncRNA from 1 species
CGACGAGUUUUAGACCCGCCAGUCGAAGUUGUUAUCAGAAAGUUACAGAUCAAAGGAUCCUUAGAGACAAUGAAUAUGGACGCGUGCGUGAGUAUAUGGGUAAAUAUUUGUAUGUAUGUGUACAUGUAGAUGUAGAUGUAUAUAUACAUACACAUAUACAUAUAUGUAUAUAUAUACAUACACACACACACACACACACACACACACACACACACACAUAUAUAUAUAUAUAUAUAUAUAGAGAGAGAGAGAGAGAGAGAGAGAGAUGCAUAUAUAUACUUGUGAAUAUAUAUAAAUAUAUGUAUGUAUAUAUAUACAUAUAUAUAUAAAUAUAUAUUUAUAUAUACACUUAUAUAUAUAUAAUACAUACAUACAUAUACACAAACACACGCACACACACACGCACGCGCACACACACAUUUAUAUAUAUCAUAUAUUUAGUACGUUUUCAUUGAUUAUGAGAAACCUUGUUACUUCAAAUAUCUUAAUUACAGAGACGCCAAUAUAUAUACAUAGUUACACUUCUACACUUACAUAUAUAUAUAUAUAUAUAUAAGUCCUUAGACACACAGACACACAUACGCAUGUGUACAUACCUAUCGCGGUACUCUGUCGGGUACGACGACGAGGGUUCUAGUUGGUCCGAUCAAUGCAAGAGCCUGCUCGUAAAAUUCACAUGUAAGUGGCUGAGUACUCCGAAGACAUGUGUACCCUUAACGUAGUUCUAGGAGAGAUUCAGCGUGCCACAGAGUGUGACAAGGCUGGCCCUUUGAAAUACAGGUACAACAGAAACAGGAAGAAAGCGUGAGAGUAUAAUGUGGUGAAAGAAUAAUGUUUGCCUCUCAAACCAUCUUUCAUGGGGUCGAAGAAAUGAUAGUCCAGUGACGAGGAAAUGAAAACUUUAGUGAAAAAGUGGCUCAAAGAACGGUCAACAGGAUUUUACGAGGCAGGGAGACAUGCUCUCAUUCGAAGGUGGAACAUUGCUAUUGAGAGAAACGGUGACUAUGUUGAGAAGUAGGGAUGUGAUCCACAGAGGACCAGCUUCAUUUUGAUGUAUGAUAUAUGUUCCUGUGUUGGUAAUUAUACCCGUCCUAAAGAAAAUGGCAUUACUUUUUGACUCACCCUCGUACCAGCAUAACUGGGAUACGCCUUGGCCAUUGUAAACCGCUUAAAGUGCGAUAAAUAUUGACUUGUGUCACUCAAUAGGUGUUGAUCACCGUGGAAUGAAAGCGCAAAAAAACCUAUGACUAACCACACUGGAAAUCCUGACGCUGGCAUUGAUGCUUUCUACGCGUUGUUUCAUUAGCUGUUCAUUAAAAAAAUACACGUCUAUCGUGGCAGUGUUUAUGACCGUAUUUAUGACUGCACAACAGCUAUAAGAAUACCAGACUCAGUGGACUGCAUCAUAAGAUGUGUGAAUCCUCACCUGGUGGUGUCAUAUCACUAGCCCGCAAUAGCCAUUGAAUUUAUCGAUAACAAAUAAAUUUUGUGUGCGAGCCUAUGUGCACCGGACCCCACGAUUUUAUGUGCUUGUGUGUGCGUGUGAGUUUGUACGAGCUAGUGGCCGUGCGUCAGACCACGUUUGUGUGAGCGUAUGUAAAUCCAUUUCUACUAAAGGUUAUGUUUAAUACUUUUUCCGCUGUAUUAUGUAUUUAUUUCUUUUUGUAUCUUGAUAGUUGUUAUGGAUCUUCUAUAAGUAUGAAGCUGUAGCCCGUAUUUUGCCAUUUCUGUAUACGAAGACCAAGAAGAAAUUUUGCGAAACCGAGUUUAUUUUACCGAGAUAUCACCUCAAGAGAUUCAUCAACACCGAGCGAUACGCCUAAACCAGUUGUAUAGCAUCCCAACCGCGAGACACUGAUGCUAGAUGGGUCGAAACAAUCG